rnacentral:misc_RNA from 1 species
CGUAAUGAGGUUAACUAAGGUUAAUAAAUACAUCUGAAGAUGGCGGUACUAUCAAAGAGUCUAUUUUCAAUAUCUAUUAUCGCCGUGACGUUCGUGGUUGAAUAAGGGAGGGGUACUUCUUGUGCGCCGUGUUUGUCGUGUCGUUUUGGUGAGACGUGAUGACGUCAGACUUGAAGGCUCGAGCCGUGUUUGAAGCCGAAAAGGGCGUGAAAGUGUGGUGUGCUCAUCAUUUUAUAUAAUUUAUUUCAUUAGAAAUAUGUACAAAUAGGUGUAGUGUCUGAGUGAAUUGUUAAUUAUGUUCGGUGCUGUCUGUGCGUGAUAGAAAACAUGUUUCGUUGUAUACCGAUAUUCAAAGGGUGUAACAGGCAGGUGGAAUACGUUGACAAGCGUCACUGCUCGUUGCCUAGUGUUCCCGAGGAUAUUCUACGUUAUUCACGUAGUUUGGAAGAAUUACUUCUAGACGCGAAUCACAUACGUGACUUGCCGAAGAAUUUCUUUCGUCUGCAAAGACUUCGACGAUUAGGACUAAGUGACAAUGAAAUACACCGCUUGCCGCCCGAUAUUCAAAAUUUUGAAAACCUCGUGGAGCUGGACGUGUCAAGAAAUGAUAUACCGGAUAUACCUGAAAACAUCAAGAAUUUGCGAGCUCUACAGGUGGCUGAUUUUAGCAGCAAUCCUAUACCUAAGUUACCAGCUGGGUUUGUGCAGCUGAGGAAUCUGACUGUUUUGGGUUUGAAUGAUAUGUCGCUAACGAACUUGCCAUCAGAUUUUGGAAGUUUAGAAGCGCUGCAAUCCUUGGAAUUAAGAGAAAAUUUACUCAAGUCACUGCCAGAAUCGCUUUCUCAGUUAUUGAAACUUGAACGAUUGGACCUCGGGGACAAUGAAAUCGAAGAGUUGCCAGUACACAUAGGGAAAUUGCCGGCGUUGCAAGAGUUGUGGCUAGAUCACAAUCAGCUGCAACACUUGCCACCUCAAAUUGGAGAGUUGACUACAUUAGCUUGCCUCGAUGUGUCAGAGAACAGGUUGGAGGAUCUUCCGGAAGAGAUUGGUGGUCUUGUUUCGCUCACAGACCUGCACUUAUCCCAGAACGUUAUUGAAAAGCUGCCUGAUGGGCUCGGCAAGUUGAAGAAACUGACAAUUCUAAAGGUGGAUCAAAAUAGGUUGUCUGCUCUAAACCACAACGUUGGCAGUUGUGAAAAUCUCCAGGAGCUUAUUUUAACGGAAAAUUUCCUCUUGGAGUUGCCGCCGUCUAUUGGAAACCUACUAAACCUAAAUAAUUUGAAUGUGGAUCGAAACAGCCUUCAGUUUCUUCCUACAGAAAUUGGCAAUUUACUGAAGUUGGGCGUCCUCUCCUUGCGUGAUAAUAAAUUGCAAUAUCUUCCGAAUGAAGUCGGUAAAUGUACAGCUCUCCAUGUCUUGGACGUGUCCGGUAACAGAUUGCAGUACUUGCCAUACUCGUUGAUCAAUUUAAACUUAAAAGCAGUUUGGUUAAGUGAAAACCAGGCUCAGCCAAUGCUGACAUUCCAGACAGACAUUGAUGACGAAACGGAACAGGAAGUACUCACAUGUUUUCUUUUGCCACAGCUUGAAUAUCAUCCCGAAAAUCAACAUGAUAGAGGAAGGUUAAGUACGUUGACCGGGAUCCGAGAUACGAUUGUAGGAGAAGAAAUGAGAGAAGUGGGAAGCAGCGAUGACGAGGGUUGGCAAGAAAGGGAGGCUUCACGUACACAUUCCGUCAAGUUUACAGACGAAGCACCAGAGACUGACAAGGAGACUCGAUGUAUUACUUGUGAUCACCACUUACAUCUGGUACAAUUCACAUAUUUUCACCUUGAAGAACUAUCGACACCAUUUGUACGUCAGAACACGCCUCAUCCUAAGGAAUUGAAGGCUAAGGCUCACAAGCUGUUUGGUAAAGGCAAAAAUGAAAGCCGCUCAGGAUCAACUGAGGAGCAGGAUGUUUCCCAAACUUUUGGUUUGGAUAAAAUAGAAUCAGAGGAACAAACAAAAGGUACAGAAUUGGAAAAUUUUAUAACUGCUGAACAGGAAAAUCAGCCUUUACAGAAUUUCGUUGAAGUCGACAAGUUCGGACACAGUGUGUCCGCUUUGGAAGCGUUGGAUGACAUUCGCGAUGUUCCUAUACCAAACGAACAAUCGCCUGUCCCGCCCCAACAGCUUUCCGACCAGAAUACCUUGCAGGAUGCAGAAAUAGAGAGACUGCUGCCCGAUGCUAAAAUUAAAGACGAUUCCGACGAGGAAGACGUACAAAGGCACGUUGAAUUUUCAGUAACAGAAGGGUCAAAUAACGACGAAAGUAUGGGAGAAGUAGGCAGACCUAACAGGCUGCAUCGGCGAGAUACCCCCCAUCAUUUGAAAAAUAAACGAAUUCACACGUUAAUCGAUAAGGACAAAGUUGCUUCCAUUAUCGCACAGGCAUUAUUGAAAAAAGGUGAUGAGCUUCCAGUAUCACCCUUACCUCCAAUGGACACCACAGACGACCAACACUGUCCAGAUACAGUAUCAGAUGCAGAGCCAUCGAUAGAAGUGCGUGAAGAACAAUAUGAGAUUCACAUAGAAAGAACAACGGGAGGUCUUGGCCUAUCCAUAGCUGGUGGUAUAGGAUCGACCCCGUUCAAGGGGGACGAUGAAGGAAUUUUUAUUUCACGAGUAACAGAGGGAGGACCCGCAGAACUAGCUGGACUCCGAGUGGGAGAUAAAGUAAUUGCUGUUAAUGGAGUGUCAGUCGUUAACGUGGAUCACUAUGAUGCUGUGGAAGUUUUAAAAGCGUGUGGCCGUGUUCUUGUGUUAGUUGUUCUCAGAGAGGUCACCAGAAUAAUUCCAUCAUCAGAGCAAACGUCAAUAAGGAAAGAUUCGGUGUGUUCAAGUUUGAGCACUAGCCGAGCCCCUAGUGCAACAUCUUAUGUAUCGUCUACUCUCUCGCAUCAUCUUGAAAAUGGAGAGAACCAAUUUACACCUCACGAUACUCCGAAGAUAAAAAAAAUACCUGAUCCAAUUCCAAAUGCCAGAGCAAGCAGCGAGCCUAUGAUGACUGUAUUAGUGCACACUACGCUCAUUCGGGACCAAAAUGGUCUGGGAUUUAGUAUUGCUGGUGGCAAAAGCUCUCCACCUUUCAAAGAUAAUACCGAUGCAAUAUACAUCUCGAGAAUUACUGAUGGAGGCGUUGCACAAAAGGAUGGAAAAUUGAUGGUUGGAGACAAAGUUAUAUCGAUAAAUGGAGUCGAAAUGACUGGUGCCAAGCACGAACAAGCUGUAGGCAUGCUUACUGGUCUGGAGAGAUUCGUUAGACUAGUAGUUGAACGCGAAAUACCCUUAUCUCAGGCGAAUCCUUCUAAUCCGUUGACCCCGUCAGAAAAAUCUCCACGAGUCAUCGGAACACCGCGCCCGUACACGGGACUUUACAAUGCCAACAGUUAUAUGGCGAAUAGGCCGGGAUAUGCAGGGUAUCGCCGCUCUAUGGACGCGGAUAAAAACUUGACGCAAAGCCCAACAUCUAAAACGCCUCCUCCUACCAACGCUGAGGUUGUGAACGGAGCUUCUAAAGUCAAUGGAAUUACCGAAACUGUGAAUCCUCUCAGAAAUUCCACACCAGCAAUGUUGUCUGGCGCUAAUAACGUAAACCAGCCACACCCACAGUCACAACCACAACCACAACCACAGCCAGCUCCGCGGCAUAGCGUUUCUCAAACAGCAUCCGUUGUUGUUCCCGCGCCAUCUGUAGAGCGAGAAUCAAGGCCGGCUUCACCACAGGAGGAUAUACAGGUACCGAAGCCAAUCACCAACGAGGAAUUUCAGGCCAUGAUCCCUGCUCAUUUCCUACGACCUCCGACAUCCUCGCCCUCACCAGACUCCCACCAGGGCCCUGUCGUCACAGUGACUAUCAAGCAACCCGAUAAUCUCCCAAGGGAUAUUAACUUCCCCCCGGCGCCAACCACCAUUGGCAAAGUUACCGAGACCAUCACAAAGAGCACCCUUACUGAAACAGUGGUCACUAGAGUCACCGACAACGAGCUGGUUCACCCAGUCAUCAUUGAGGAUGUCGUGCUGGUAAAGGAAGGAUCUCUUGGAUUCAGUAUUAUUGGCGGAACAGACCAUUCGUGUAUACCAUUUGGAGUUAAGGAGCCUGGAAUUUUUAUAUCUCACGUUGUACCUGAUGGCAUAGCUGCGAAUUCUGGAAAGCUGAGAAUGGGUGAUAGAAUAUUAAAAGUAAAUGGGACAGACGUAACAAAAGCUACUCACCAGGAAGCUGUGAUGGAACUUCUGCGGCCUGGUGAUUUCAUUACACUCACCAUCCGACACGAUCCAUUGCCAGAUAGUUACCAACUGGUCGAAAUAGAGUACAUUCCAGUAACAGAAUUAACAAUAAUCAAAGAGCCAGGAGAAAAACUUGGGAUGCACAUAAAAGGAGGAUUAAGAGGGCAACGUGGUAAUCCCUUAGAUCAUACUGACGAAGGCGUUUUCAUUUCAAAAAUCAAUUCUGGAGGUGCGGCCAAAAGGGAUAGCAGGUUGAAGGUUGGAAUGAGGUUAUUGGAAGUUAACGGUACGUCCUUAUUGGGCGCGACGCAUCAAGAAGCAGUUAAUAUUCUCCGAUGCUCAGGAAAUACGAUAACUUUGGUGGUCUGUAAAGGAUACGACAAAAACGACUUGGAGCAAGCACUGUAUACGUCUAAAGGGAGGGAUUCUAAAGAGUCACGAGGAUCUCGAGAAUACAAGGAUUCUACAACCGACGAGGUAAAGUCCUUGUCACAGAGUGUUUCCAGUUUGGAUCGUGAGGAUGAGGAUACAGCUACAAUGCGGCAAGAGCAGGAAAUGAAAGCUGAAUUGGUUGCCUGGGAACAAGAAGAACGAGAACGAGCUAUGAUGGAGUACAGAGAAAAAUCUACGCAAGAAAAGGUGUUAGAUGUUGUAAGGGCAGCAGAAUCUCUGGUGAACAAACCAAACAGUCCGGUCGAUAUGCAUGUACCUCCCAAGUCUCCUGGUGGUACAAAAGACCUGAAAACGACUACUAUUGUCAUGACCAAACAUACCUUAGCACCCCAGAACUCCACUUUAAUUAGCAAAGAAGCCGCUGCAGGAACAUCUGUGGAUGGUGUAGUCUUCUCGAUUCCUCCAACCUCUUCUACUCAUUCCACUCCCUAUACCCAAAUCACAAACCAUGAUUUUCACUCUGCAAUGCAAACCUUACCCUCCCCCUACUCCGGAACAGCACCCAGUAGAUCUAAAUGUACUGUUACUUCAGCAACACUUCCAAUGGCUUCUAAAACUACAGAAACCACGGGGGAUGAGUUAUUCCCACACUGUAAUGUAGCAUUAUCAUCAGUCAAAACAACAUUUAUUGAUUCAUCAGUACCUUACAUUCAGCCUCCAAAAUUCCGAAUUCAACAGCGUCCAUUAUCCACGCUUGAACCAAGUUUGUCUCCCGAAGAAGCUGUUCCCCAAAAACGAUUUUCUAUUAAUGACCCUUUUGACAAUCAUCGCUCACGCCCCACUAGACUUCCCCCGACGCCACUGACCAGCCCUGGGUACAUUGAAGAAAUCAUUCCUUCUCAUCCUCCUCCCUCCAGAGAAUUACCGCAGAUUGCACGCUCUGUACACUGGAAAUCUCAGGUUGAGCCCACGUCAACGCCAUCUCCACCUCCCGCUUCGACAAAGAUGUCCGUUAGCGAUCGGAAAAGAUUAUUUGAAUCUGCUAUGGAGGAGCACCUGAAACCUUCUCCAAAACCAGAGAAGGUGUUCAGCUUUCUGAGCCAAGAUGAAGUUGAGAACAUGAAACAAGAAGAAGAAAGAAAAAUUGCCACGUUAACACGAGAUGAAUUGAAGUCAUGGGCUCAGAUUGACGAAAAUGAGGUAUUAGAAGAGCCAGAGGAUAUGAUGGAGGAGCAGGAUGACAGAAGACCUAAUAGCCGACUGUCUUCACGAAGUCCUCAUCCUCUAUUACACAACGCACCAAGUAUCGUCAGGACUGCCAAAGCUGAACGACGCUUGAAGGAAAGAAUGAUACAAGAGGGCUUAAUUUCGGAUGAAGACGAAGAUAGCCAACUAUCUCCUGCCAAACAACGAGCACUGAGAGCGGAAAAACGAGCUGCUUGGAGACAAGCACGACUUAAGUCUCUCGAGCAGGAUGCUCUCCAAGCACAAAUAGUGAUCAAGAAGAUGAACGAGAUGAUGGAUACAUCUGGAAAGACAGAUAAUUUGGCUGAAUUGACAGUCACAGCUGCAGAGCCACCAACGGAACCAGAGAAUGUGACGGAAUUCGCUACAUUACGACCGUCUAGUGCAGAUUUUCCUAAGCUUGCUGUGCGCAGCAAGAUUGGCCCCCCAAAGGCUGUACGUGAAUGUGAAAAAGUAGUGGAUGAAAAGGUCACUCGACGCACCGAAGAGUAUGUGGACGAAGUGACGGGUGAACGCCGUGUGCGAACCGUUGAAUACGUCGAGAAGCUGAUUGAGCAUGAGAUUCCAACACUCUCACUGGGAAUGCAACCUGCACUGCCUUGAGCCACUCAUUUUCUUUCUACUGAUUACUGACACACUGUUCUCCGGCUAGCGGUCGAAACUCUCAGAGAAAAAAUUAUUUCACUGGAGCUCAGUAAUGCCGAAGAGGAAGCUGAUAGUAUCGGAGAAACUGGUGCCAGCGAUGCUGAAAGUGAGAGCGAAGAUCCCACAGCUCAAACUUCUGUGAGUACACCCGUGGAAGAGAAAGACACCGAGUCUCAUAUUUCCACACCAAUCAAUGUUAAUCUCCCAGCGACUAUA